CUGGUGGAGUAGCCACACGCGGGUGUCUGAGCUACGCCACAGUCGCGCGGAGCUGCUAACAUCAACUAGCCGUGCUCACCCCAGGGAUUAUAGAGCUACCAAGAGCGGCCAGCCGAGCUCCCCCGCGCGGGCAAUGGAGCUAUCGUGCGGGCGGCCGAGCUCCCACUUGGGGGUGGUAGAGCUCCCAUGCGGGGCAGAUCUGCUAAGACCGGCUGGCCGAGCUCCCCGGGCCCAGCAGCGUCGCUCCCACACGCAGGCUGGUGAAGCGACCCUACACUAUGGUGGAGCCGGCCCGGGUGCGACGUGAACCGCCUGCUAUAUUCUAACGUGCAACGCCGGCGAGCCCAAACUCCAGCGAGCUCCUGGAUGGCGCGCAGCUCGCAGCCGACGCACGAGGCCCUGGACACUAGCUCGCGGCCUUAUCUUCGGUUCGCGGCCAGAGCUAGCAGCCAGUGGAGCUUGCUGCCGGCAAAGCUCGCGGCCAGAGCUUGGAACCAGCGAGUAGGGAGGCGAGGCGGCCGAUGGAGCUCGCGGCCUGUGGGCAAGGACUGAGGAGUGCGGCGGCAACGGGCGAGCAGUGCUAGCGGCGGCUGGGAAGCAGGUGGAGCAUGACAUUUUUUAUUUUUUUCAACACAGGUUGCCUAGGGUCCCAAGUUUCCUAGGAAAACUUUCUCUAGGGUUUCCAUCAAAAUCGUAGGGUAAUAGUUGUUUCCUGUCCAAUUUAUCCCUACCAGUCUUUCGCCCCUAGUGUUUUUUGAUCAUUUCCCUAGGAUUUUGGCCCUAGAGAAAUUCUGGAUACAGCCGUGAGUGGAGGAAGGGUGAAAAUGAGAGAAGAGGAGGUGACGCGCAACAGUUUAUGGGUUGGAAAAGAAGAGGUGACUCCACCAAAUAGUAUAAACCAAACAUAAGAAAAAGAAACCAUGCUUUACUUGUACAUGCAACCAAACAUGAAUUAAUUUUUUUUUUGGGGUGGACCAGAUGUACUAGUGGAGGAAGGCCUUCUAUCCUAACUCUCGAUCCUCGGCAGGCUAGCGCAAGCCAAUUAAACUGGCACAUAGUAGACAAGGCAGAAAAAGAGGCUGGAGAACAUGACCGUAUUGAUGACAUAUGAUGGAUGUUGUGCGAUGUAACAAAAAACUGCGAUAGUGAAAAGAAGUCAAAAAAGUUCCAAUGUAUGUUAGAGGAUCAUAAAACAUUAUUGAGUCCUUGCAAAAAGGGGCACAAAAAUUGGGUAGCACACUAGAAUUGUAUAACGGACGUCAAUAAUUUUUUUUAAUAACGAAAGGAUUUCCAGCCUCUACAAAGUGUACAUAGCCAAUUGAUAUUUUGAAACAUAGCCGUCCAUUGGCUAAUUGGGGAAUGAACAAAAGAAAAAUGAUCUAAACCAAUCAUGAGGUUAUGUUUGCACCCAUGAUUAGUUAACUCCAAGGCAACAGCCUCCAAUGCAAGACUCAUCCUUCGAAACAACACCUUUGUCGUAUCUUUAUGCUGUAGUUGCGCCCAUAAGCGCAACCAGUAGAUCACCCUGAAAAUAGUUUGCAUAAAUGAUGAAUACUUGGUUGAACAAAAUGUAGAUGCCCCCACCAAAACGACAUGCCUUUCCUUGUCAUCAAAAUUUGAGAGCCCAGCAUAUGGGAAAUCGAUCUUGGCAGGGUUAACCCUGUAGAUAAAUAAACUAUCUUCCAAAUCUCCUUUGCAUGGUAGCAUUCAAAGAGGAGAUAUGUAAUUGAUUCAUUACAAUUACAUAAGCUAUACUUCAAAUUCCCCUUCCAAUAAUUCCUCGCUAGAUUAUCUUUUGUUAGGAUAACUCCUCUUUGGAGAAACCAAAUGAAGAUCUUUUACCUUGAGAGGAAUUUUUAGUUUCCAAAUCAAUUUGUGACGAAAGGGAGCAUGUUGGUUUAUCUUGUGGAGGUACAUAGGUCUAACAGUAAAGAUCUCGUAUUUACGUAAAUUCCAUCUGAAGUGAUCACUCCCUUCAACUAAAUUGAUGUUGGUUAUCUAGCUACCAGAUCAAACCAUUUUUAGAGUUUUUCAUCCACCAAAGGACCGAAACAUUUCAGGUUCUGAAAUGCCAACAAAUGGUGUAUGGGAUAGCGAAUUUUAGGGUUAUUGCUCAUAAAAAAGAUGCUUCGGGAGGGUAAGAAAUUGUCUGCCAGAACAUACAAAGCAACAUAAGUUGUUUGUCUCUAGGAUUGAAUGUAUACAAAUUAAAAUACAGCAUAACCUAGUGAUUGUAUCCUUUGUCUGGGUAAGGAGUAAAAGAAUUUGAAGGCUUUGUCUCGUAUGUGUAAAAUAUCAAGCGAUGUGACCUUGAUGAUGUUGAGGAGGUUAGAAAUGGCAACGGGUACAAAAUAUCCACAUACCUGUGUAUACCAAAUCGGAUGGGUGCGGAUACGGGUCUGAAUUUGUGCCCACGGGCUCGGGCGCAGGUAUAAUUCUAAACACAAUAAUAUCUUCUAAUGGGUUUGAAAAAUUGAUACCUGAAUCCUCAAACCCGCAGACAAUGACUCUUGUAAUGUAUCAUGUAUGAGAUUAGUUUAUUUAUUUGCUCAGAUUUAUUUGUUUCCUCGAAUAAAUGGUGUUGACAUGUUGCUUGUUGAUUUAUAAUUUAUUAGUGUUGAGAUA